GGUGUAAGCUAGCGGCGGACGGGUGAGUAACACGUAGGUAACCUGCCUAUAAGAUCGGGAUAACUAUCGGAAACGAUAGCUAAGACCGGAUAACUGGUUUUCUCGCAUGAGAGAAUUAUGAAACACGGAGCAAUCUGUGGCUUAUAGAUGGGCCUGCGGCGCAUUAGCUAGUUGGUAGGGUAACGGCCUACCAAGGCGACGAUGCGUAGCCGACCUGAGAGGGUGAACGGCCACACUGGGACUGAGACACGGCCCAGACUCCUACGGGAGGCAGCAGUAGGGAAUCUUCCGCAAUGGACGCAAGUCUGACGGAGCAACGCCGCGUGAGUGAUGAAGGUUUUCGGAUCGUAAAGCUCUGUUGCCCUAGACGAACAGCAAGGAGAGUAACUGCUCUUUGUGUGACGGUAUAGGAGAAGAAAGCCCCGGCUAACUACGUGCCAGCAGCCGCGGUAAUACGUAGGGGGCAAGCGUUGUCCGGAAUUAUUGGGCGUAAAGCGCGCGCAGGCGGUCAAUUAAGUUGGGUGUUUAAGCCCGGGGCUCAACCCCGGUUCGCAUCCAAAACUGGUUGACUUGAGUGUAGGAGAGGAAAGUGGAAUUCCACGUGUAGCGGUGAAAUGCGUAGAGAUGUGGAGGAACACCAGUGGCGAAGGCGACUUUCUGGCCUAUAACUGACGCUGAGGCGCGAAAGCGUGGGGAGCAAACAGGAUUAGAUACCCUGGUAGUCCACGCCGUAAACGAUGCAUACUAGGUGUUGGGGAUUCGAUUCCUCGGUGCCGAAGUUAACACAGUAAGUAUGCCGCCUG
rnacentral:rRNA from 1 species